AGGCGAAGGUGGGAGGACGUCGCUCUCUCUCUCUCCCUCUUCCCUCGGCUUCUCACCAACGGCGCGUUCGCAGUUUCUUUCCCACAAAAAGUGAACGUUCUGAGAGGAAGAAAAGAUAAACCCGAGCACAUACCAACUAAAAGCAAAGAAAAGGAACGGCAAAACACAAAGAACGUAUCUCUUUCUCUCUUUCCGCUUAAUCUCCGACCGACAAAUAGACAGACGCCGUUUGUGAUCGUGACUUCGUCCUGAGAACUACAGAGCCCCUUCGGCAGAGACGCUCCUCCCGCGCGCGUCCCCGCCAGAGGAUGUCCAUCCGUGCGGUCCGCCAGGAGGGAGAGACAUCGCCAUCCUCCUCCGUCUCAGCGAAGGGCGGCCCUCGGCGUUAAAGAGGGCAUGCCGGCAGCGACGCCUCCAGCUGCCCUCGCCUCGCCAGCCCCCGCCCACCGAGCCGCCGCACGCCCACGCUUCAGCCCACGACCAGCACAAGCGGCGCCUCCUGCUGCCGUGACGGCGCUUUCUGCUCCUACUGUCACGGGAUUCUUUGCGGACUCUUCUGCUGUGACUUUCUCCUGUGACCUUAUUGCUGUGACCUCUUCCCUAAGAACGCUCUUGAUGUUGUGAUCUUCUGCUGUGACCCUGCCUCCUGUGACUCCCUGCUGUGGGAAUAUUUCCCCUGCCGGUGUCCUAUGCUGUGACCCUCUUCCUUGCUCCGACCCGUGCCCCCCCCCCCUCUCUCUCUCCCUCUCUCCUCUCUCUCUUUCUCUCUCUCUCUCAAUCUCUCUCUCUCCCUCUCUCCCUCCCUCUCCCUCUCCCUCCUCUCCCUCCCUUGCCAUGACCCCUGCUUCCUUGACCUGGAGAUCCUCAGUGACCUAAGAGCCAAGCCCGACCGAGCCGAGAGCAGAAAGGCUUGAGUGAUUUUUUCAUGACAACAUAUCAAUGGCAUCAGGGAAUUCGCGACUCCAAGCAUAAGCUGCGCGAAGAUUUAUGGCAGAUCCAAGAGCUUAUAUAUGCGUCGAGUCGUUUGCAUAUACUGUUCAUAUAUAUAGAUGCAGAUAUACACGUUUUCGUGACUAUGAAGCAAUACAAUAUAACACAAGGAAGUUGUUAGAAGUUGUUAGACAAACCUAUGAACAAAAAUUAUAACAAACGACUAAGAACAAAAGGAAGCACGAGAACAGAGACCAGAAACGAAAGGAAAAAAGCAAGAGCGUCAAUAGAAGAGAACAAGAACAUAUGUAACUAUUAAAAAAAAGAAAGAAAGAAAAAAAAAGUUUUCGUCAUCCGAAAAUUACCCCUUUCCUCCCCCCCCCCCCAUCCAGCCGCUCUAAAACGGAGAAUAACACAAAAUACAAACACAGGCCCCUUCUUCCCCAUCUAUCCCCACACACUUUCAACCUCCCUCUAUCACCUUCCUACCCCACACUCCCACCCCCGCCUACCCCUUCCCGCUUGCCCCCAUCCUUCUAAUAUCCCCAGUCCUUCUAAUUUCCCCCCUCCCCUCCCUCCCUCCUCCCCCUCCUCCCUGGGAAUUCGCGUGGCGCGUGACAUGCCGCGGGCGCCGUGGUAGGAGCGGCCGCAUCUCAGCCACCAUUCACGGGGAGACACCGGGGGGAAAGCGCCCUGUACUCGUCACCAUGGAUACGAGCGAGGACCCGGACGACGAGAAAAAACGCUGCUGGUGCAGGAUGAAGCCGGCGGUGUGGUACAUGACGAUGAUCAUCGUGGGCUUUUUCUACGUGUACCUGACGGCUAUCCAGUACAUCCGAGGCAGUGAGCUGGACGGCUCGCCCAGCAGCUACCUGCCUCAGUACGACCCGCAGUACUUCGACGAAAGCCUCUUCAGCCCGACGACGAGCCUUGACUUCGAGUACCACGACUACAGCAGCAUGACCUCCUUCCUGCGUGCCAUGAGUGCCACGUACCCCAACCUGACGGCGCUCUACUCCAUCGGCAAGAGUGUGCAAGGGCGCGACCUGUGGGUGCUGGUGGUGUCGGCGUCGCCCUACGAGCACAUCGUGGGGCAGCCCAACGUGAAGUACGUGGCCAACAUGCACGGCAACGAGGCGGUCGGGCGGGAGAUGCUGCUGCACUUGGUGGAGUACCUGGCGAAGAGCUACCAGACGGACGACUACGUGCGCUGGCUGCUGGACAACACCCGCAUCCACAUCUUGCCUUCCAUGAACCCCGACGGCUUCGAGGUGGCGAGGGAGGGCACGUGCCAGGGAGGGCAGGGCAGAUACAACUCCCGGGGAUUCGAUCUGAACCGCAACUUCCCCGACUACUUCAAGCAGAACAACAAGCGAGCUCAGCCUGAAGCCGAGGCCGUGAAACAGUGGGUUUCGAAGAUUCAGUUCGUGCUGUCGGCGAACCUGCACGGAGGGGCGCUGGUGGCCUCGUACCCCUUCGAUAAUUCGCCCAACACAAUCAAGAACUGCGACCUGAAGCCAUUGUGUGCAGUCUUCCAACAGUUCACUUCCACGCCUUCACUCACGCCUGACGAUGACGUUUUCAAGCACAUUGCCAGCCUCUACGCCUUCAACCAUGCAACCAUGCACCUCGGCCUACCAUGCAAACCAGGUGCACCCACGUUCACCAACGGUACCACUAACGGCGCGGCUUGGUACCCACUUACUGGCGGUAUGCAAGACUAUAACUACGUCUGGCACGGGUGCAUGGACAUCACAAUUGAAAUGUCAUGCUGCAAAUACCCCCCAGCUGAUGACUUGCCCAAGUUCUGGGACGACAAUAAGAAGGCCUUAGUGCGCUACCUGGGCGAGGUGCACCGCGGCGUUCGAGGCUUCGUGAAGGACGAGCGGAACGCCCCCGUUGAGGGCGCGUCGCUCAAGAUCAAAGGCCGCGACGUCGGUUUCCAGACCACCAAGUACGGGGAGUACUGGCGCGUGCUGCUGCCCGGCCGCUACGCCAUCGAGGUGUACGCCGAAGGGUUCGAGCCCCGCGAAGAAGAGUUCGAUGUCGUGGAGACGAAUCCAACGCUACUGAACCUCACCUUAUACAAGGCUGUGCCCGGCCCGACCGCCCUGCCCUCGAGGCCCGAUCAGCACUCGCCGGAAACCACAGCCGGGCCGAAGACACUGAGCAAUCCGACCCUGUGGAUCUGGGCCGCCGUUCUCAUGGUCGUGUCGGCAGCCACUCUGUUCGGCGCGAAGGUCGUGCGAGCGAGGUCGAAGAAAAACUAAAUUGCCGAUAAAGACAGGAAGUCGAAGAAAGCGAAAGAAAGAAUAUGAAAGAAAGGGGUAAUGGGGGGAAGGAAAAGGAACGUGGAAAAAAGACAAGAAGAUUAGUGUCGAUAUGAGUAAUUUUGCUUGCGUGAUAUUUCGGUAAAUUAGAUUGCGGUCCGGGGAAAAAAAGGGAACAAGAGAAGAAUAAAUUAUAUUUCGAAAUUAGGGAAAAAUGAAACUAAAAAGCGAUUAAAUUUAUAAUCAAAUAAACUAAGUUUGUCCAUGAUUCUCAGACGAUAAUGGUUUCGAUCGCGAUAAUUUCCAAAGAUGAUUAUAAUAUUCAUUCGCAUUUUGGAAUUCAGGAAUUUUCGGAAUUUCAUUUUUCCCAUUUGCUUUAACUUAAAAGAACGAUAAUACACGGGGGACCCUAGAGCUUCUAGUUAUAAGGUUUUCAUUAUUACUGGAGUUAUGUAUGUCUUGUUGGUAGGUAGAGUAAUGAUGGUAAUAGUCAUGAUAGUAAUGACGAAAAGGAUGAUUUAUGCGUUGUGGAAAAGCUCUUAGUGUUAUGAAAGUAAAGGAUCCGAGAAGACUGAACUCACAUUUGCGAAAGAGAAUAAACGAAAAAAGAAAACUCAAGAAAACCUCGAUUAAUUAAUUGGCGUUUUGUGGUAAUGUUUCCCCUCAGCUGCCAAAUGUCGCCAGAUCUAAGAUGUUAGAUAUCGGGUUCAAAAGCUGUCUGCAAUUGAUGCAAUCGAGAUAGCGUAUUUGCACGACAGCAACCUCUACAUGUCUCAGCAACGGCCGUCGUUUCAGCAAUUUCUUCACUACCGUUUCUGUCGUUGUGGCCGUUAAGCGACAUGGAAGUUUACUGCCGUUAACUUUAAUCUUUAGAGCGACUAGGAGCCGUUCUUUGGUUACAGCCGAAAUAUACCUGUAUGUUCGCCUGUAUUUGAGUGUUUUAGACAUGUAAUUCAUCAUAAGCCGCUACACAAAAACGAUUAAUUAACAUCUAAUUAACCCAUUCACAGUUACUAAACUUCAUCCAUGAUUCAUCGAAGGUCGAGGAAGUUAUUUUAAGCCCGUAAUUCAUCGUAGGUCACAGAAAAUUGACGGAAAUACAGUGUACAUAUGCAGUUCUUUAUCUAACAUCUCGUUGAUUUGAGUCACGGUUUCUUGUAUUCAUGUGUUUUCAAUAACACGAAAUAUGCACUUAGAUGUCUUUUUAGAUCUGACGUUUCUAGAUCUUGUGUUACUGAUUAUGUGAUAAAAAUGAUCCGCCAUUUUUAAUAGUAAUUAUAAUGCAACAUGGUAAUGGUCUUGUCUGUGAUAAUCUAUCGAAAAAAAAUUAAAAUGAAAUGAAACGGUGAUUGAAUUUUUUUCCAAUGCGGUUCUAGAUUUUUUUUAUAUGUUUCGAUUCUUUAAUAGUUAGAUUUAGCAAGAAGUUUAGUGUCGAUGUAUCGUAGUAGCAAAGGAGUUCUAUUUCAUUCGUUUGUGAUAUUCAGUCUUCGAUUCAGACCUUGAAAAUAAGCUUUUUCAUGUUGUCUUUCCACUGAAACGUAGCCUUCAGUGUUUACGCUUCGACGACGCGUGCAUAUCUCAUACGCCUGUCUCAAACGGAUUUGUUUUUCGACUGUUCUUGAAGGAAAGAGCAGAGUGAAGAGAAAACAAAAUAUAAAUGAAAUAAAAACCUGUGAAUAACACAAUAUGAUAAACAUUAUAAAACGACCCGCCUCGCAAAACAAAAGACGAUCGGCCAGAUCCCGGAUUGCUCGGAAGGUCAGCUCAGGUCAGGUCAACGGGCGGGCGUGUGUGACGUCAUGGUGCAUGGACGACACAUAGCGGAUCGAGCACCGCAUCGACCAGCAGCGGCGGCCCGUGUACGUGGGCGGGCCGAGCCAGUCGCAGGGCGCCGCCCCGCAGCCCCAGGGCGGGAUCGGCGGCUUCCUGUCGUCCAUCGGCGACAGCCUAUCCAAUGUGUUC
rnacentral:misc_RNA from 1 species